AGAGUUUGAUCAUGGCUCAGAUUGAACGCUGGCGGCAGGCCUAACACAUGCAAGUCGAGCGGUAGCACAGAGAGCUUGCUCUCGGGUGACGAGCGGCGGACGGGUGAGUAAUGUCUGGGAAACUGCCUGAUGGAGGGGGAUAACUACUGGAAACGGUAGCUAAUACCGCAUAACGUCGCAAGACCAAAGUGGGGGACCUUCGGGCCUCAUGCCAUCAGAUGUGCCCAGAUGGGAUUAGCUAGUAGGUGGGGUAACGGCUCACCUAGGCGACGAUCCCUAGCUGGUCUGAGAGGAUGACCAGCCACACUGGAACUGAGACACGGUCCAGACUCCUACGGGAGGCAGCAGUGGGGAAUAUUGCACAAUGGGCGCAAGCCUGAUGCAGCCAUGCCGCGUGUGUGAAGAAGGCCUUCGGGUUGUAAAGCACUUUCAGCGGGGAGGAAGGCGGUGAGGUUAAUAACCUCAUCGAUUGACGUUACCCGCAGAAGAAGCACCGGCUAACUCCGUGCCAGCAGCCGCGGUAAUACGGAGGGUGCAAGCGUUAAUCGGAAUUACUGGGCGUAAAGCGCACGCAGGCGGUCUGUCAAGUCGGAUGUGAAAUCCCCGGGCUUAACCUGGGAACUGCAUUCGAAACUGGCAGGCUAGAGUCUUGUAGAGGGGGGUAGAAUUCCAGGUGUAGCGGUGAAAUGCGUAGAGAUCUGGAGGAAUACCGGUGGCGAAGGCGGCCCCCUGGACAAAGACUGACGCUCAGGUGCGAAAGCGUGGGGAGCAAACAGGAUUAGAUACCCUGGUAGUCCACGCCGUAAACGAUGUCGAUUUGGAGGUUGUGCCCUUGAGGCGUGGCUUCCGGAGCUAACGCGUUAAAUCGACCGCCUGGGGAGUACGGCCGCAAGGUUAAAACUCAAAUGAAUUGACGGGGGCCCGCACAAGCGGUGGAGCAUGUGGUUUAAUUCGAUGCAACGCGAAGAACCUUACCUGGUCUUGACAUCCACAGAACUUUCCAGAGAUGGAUUGGUGCCUUCGGGAACUGUGAGACAGGUGCUGCAUGGCUGUCGUCAGCUCGUGUUGUGAAAUGUUGGGUUAAGUCCCGCAACGAGCGCAACCCUUAUCCUUUGUUGCCAGCGGUCCGGCCGGGAACUCAAAGGAGACUGCCAGUGAUAAACUGGAGGAAGGUGGGGAUGACGUCAAGUCAUCAUGGCCCUUACGACCAGGGCUACACACGUGCUACAAUGGCAUAUACAAAGAGAAGCGACCUCGCGAGAGCAAGCGGACCUCAUAAAGUAUGUCGUAGUCCGGAUUGGAGUCUGCAACUCGACUCCAUGAAGUCGGAAUCGCUAGUAAUCGUAGAUCAGAAUGCUACGGUGAAUACGUUCCCGGGCCUUGUACACACCGCCCGUCACACCAUGGGAGUGGGUUGCAAAAGAAGUAGGUAGCUUAACCUUCGGGAGGGCGCUUACCACUUUGUGAUUCAUGACUGGGGUGAAGUCGUAACAAGGUAACCGUAGGGGAACCUGCGGUUG
rnacentral:rRNA from 3 species